AGAGUUUGAUCAUGGCUCAGGACGAACGCUGGCGGCAUGCCUAAUACAUGCAAGUCGAACGCGACCAGCCGGUGCUUGCACUGGCGAAGUCGAGUGGCGAACGGGUGAGUAACACGUGAGAAACCUACCCUGGAGUGGGGAAUAACUCGAAGAAAUUCGAGCUAAUACCGCAUACCUUCUUACCGUCGAAUGGUGGUUUGAAGAAAGAUUUAUCGCUCUGGGAGGGUCUCGCGGCCUAUCAGCUAGUUGGUGAGGUAACGGCUCACCAAGGCAUCGACGGGUAGCUGGUCUGAGAGGACGAUCAGCCACACUGGAACUGAGACACGGUCCAGACUCCUACGGGAGGCAGCAGUAGGGAAUCUUGCGCAAUGGGCGAAAGCCUGACGCAGCAAUGCCGCGUGCGGGACGAAGGCCCUAGGGUCGUAAACCGCUUUCAGUAGGGACGAAAAUGACGGUACCUGCAGAAGAAGCUCCGGCCAACUACGUG
rnacentral:rRNA from 1 species